AUUGAACGCUGGCGGCAGGCCUAACACAUGCAAGUCGAACGAGUGGCGGACGGGUGAGUAAUGUCUGGGAAACUGCCUGAUGGAGGGGGCUAACUACUGGAAACGGUAGCUAAUACCGCAUACCAUCAGAUGUGCCCAGACGGGCGUAGCUGGUUGGGGGGGUAAAGGCUCACCAAGGCGACGAUCCCGAGCUGGUCUGAGAGGAUGACCAGCCACCGGGGAACGGAGACACGGUCCAGACUCCUACGGGAGGUAGCAGUGGGGAAUAUUGCAAAAUGGGCGAAAGCCUGAUGCAGCCAUGCCGCGUGUAUGAAGAAGGCCUUCGGGUUGUAAAGUACUUUCAGCGGGGAGGCGUUAUCCGCAGAAGAAGCACCGGCUAACUCCGUGCCAGCAGCCGCGGUAAUUC
rnacentral:rRNA from 1 species